AUGCACAUAACUCACCACACCACAGGUCCAGCGACCAACACCACCGCCGAUCCAGCAACUCUUUCCGAUGAACACAACAACUCAACAUACAGCCAGAACCUCCACCGCGUAGAGCAUCUCCGACACCUUAAAUGCCAUGUUUCAUCCACUGUUUGGGUGCCCUUUGAAAUUGGAAAGAAGUUUUAA